rnacentral:tRNA from 1 species
GGGCGGGUAGUCUAGCUUGGUAUGACACGGUGGGCUGAUAAAGCCUGCUGCGUGACGCCGGCUUCGGGAGCCGGCGGUCCCGGGUUCAAAUACGUGCACGUACCGUGUGCACGUUGUGACUCCUGGCCCGCCCACCA